AGAGGGCGGUGGCAAUAUUUUAACCGCGCUUCUCUCCCUGCUUUGCGCCUUGACGGAAGUCCGUCCUGUCGGUUCAAGCCGUGA
rnacentral:misc_RNA from 1 species